rnacentral:rRNA from 39 species
GCGACCCCAGGUCAGGCGGGAUUACCCGCUGAGUUU